GCGGGACUCUGCACUGCCGCUCAACCAUUCGCUUAGCUUUACGUCAUUAGGAAAAAGAUGGACGCACUGGGGCUAUAAAAAGUCUAAAGUCUAACUUUCUGAUAUCUGGCUGGCAGAAGGGAAAUGGCACAUUUAGUGCUAAAGUACGGCUGAUCGAUUAAAGAUUGACAAGAGAAAUAGGUGUCCUGUUUCAUACACCCACAUGCAGAGAGCACAGCCAAUCAGGUGGAGCCAUUGGGUAUUGUUGAGGUAUUGUAGACGCGCGUGUGCGUGCGUGCGUGCGUGCGUGCGUGUGUGUGUGUGUGUGUGUGUGUGUGAUCAACAUAAUUAUGAAUAAGAUAUUCACUUUCUGCCCAGUCCAUUCUGUGAAAGGCCACUCAAUACUACACACAUUUCAUUUUGUCAUACUUAUGAAGUAAAUAUGUUGGUGCUGAGUAAGCACCAACAAACCAACAAAUAGCUGUUUUGUGAACAAUAUGCAAAUAGUGAAUAUUGUAGGGACGUUUUUCAUAAGUAAACAACUUAAGAAUACCAUUGGUGCCAUUUUAUAUACGUAUAUUUUUUAAUUGGAGAUUGAAAUCAGUCAUUCGUUAUUGACAAUGUUCAUUUAGUCCAGGACUCACUAGUCACACUACAACUAUGUUAAACUGCAGAAGAGAAGCAGGAGUAGAAGAAAGCCCUGGAAACAUUUCUUCCCUCCAGAAAUACAGAAAAUACCCAUUCUCUCCUCAACUCUACCCUCUUCCUGUGGCUUGGGUUGAACAUAACCUAAAUGAAACAUCUGUAGACAAGCUAUAUCCAUGAUGUGAGUAUUUAUUCUACGUCAGCGCUCUGGUGCGUAUUGGUUUGUCGUAUUCUUCCUAAGACUGAAUUACGAUGGCAGUAGAAGCAGUAGAAGUUGUCUUCAGUGAAUACAGAGUGCAGGCUGUUGUUAAGUGUUGCCUCUCAGGGUCCUAACUUACACUGCGUUGUUUUCCUUUAUUCAUUCCACUAAUGGAUGAAAACUAGGGAUCUGAAUAUUUAAAAUGUCAAAAUGGGUUCUGAAUAAUACGUGCAGUUCUGUUUGGAUUGGACAUAUAGAGUAAAAAAAAUGCUUUUUUAUACAAAACUUGUGUCGCCCCAAGUGCCCCAGGCCGAGAGCCAGAACUGGCAGAGCACACACAGACACGCGCCCAGCAUG